GAAGUGCGAUAAGUAAUGUGAAUUGCAGAAUUCCGUGAAUCAUCGAAUCUUUGAACGCAUAUUGCACUUUCUGGUAUUCCGGAGAGUAUGCCUGUUUGAGGGUCAGUUAAAUAAAAAUCGGGGUUUUUGCCACCUUUUCGUGGUGACGCUUCGGAAUUGGGUCGUCUUACCUUCGGAUAAGUGACUUAAAAUUUUUGUAUGAUAUUCAAACGUAUUUAAAUUUAUUUAGUACGUUUGUGAUAUCGAAUGUUUAUUAGGUGUGAUCAUCCACAUGAUUUCAUGUCUAUAAUUUUCAUCUAAUGACCUCAAAUCAGGUAAGAGUACCCGCUGAACUUAA
rnacentral:misc_RNA from 1 species